CUACGGGCGGCAGCCAGUGAGGAAUUUUGCGCAAUGGGGGAAACCCUGACGCAGCAACGCCGCGUGAGUGAUGAAGGCCUUCGGGUCGUAAAACUCUGUCAAGUGGGAAGAACCUAUGUAAGGUUAAUACCCUUAUGUACUGACGGUACCACUGAAGGAAGCACCGGCUAACCCCGUGCCAGCAGCCGCGGUAAUACGGAGGGUGCAAGCGUUAUUCGGAAUUAUUGGGCGUAAAGGGCGCGCAGGCGGUUUUGUAAGUCAGAUGUGAAAGCCCGGGGCUUAACCUCGGAAGUGCAUUUGAUACUGCAAGACUUGAGUAUGGGAGGGGGAAGUGGAAUUCCUGGUGUAGAGGUGAAAUUCGUAGAUAUCAGGAGGAACACCAGUGGCGAAGGCGACUUCCUGGACCAAUACUGACGCUGAGGCGCGAAGGCGUGGGGAGCAAACAGGAUUAGAUACCCGGGUAGUC
rnacentral:rRNA from 1 species